rnacentral:rRNA from 1 species
AACGAACGCUGGCGGCAUGCCUAACACAUGCAAGUCGAACGAGACCUUCGGGACUUGUGGCGCACGGGUGCGUAACGCGUGGGAAGCGUCCCUUAGGUUCGGAAUAACUCCCCGAAAGGGGUGCUAAUACCGGAUAAUGUCUUCGGACCAAAGAUUUAUCGCCUUUGGAUGGGCACGCGUUGGAUUAGCUAGUUGGUAGGGUAAAAGCCUACUAAGGCGACGAUCCAUAGCUGGUCUGAGAGGAUGAUCAGCCACACUGGGACUGAGACACGGCCCAGACUCCUACGGGAGGCAGCAGUGGGGAAUAUUGGACAAUGGGCGAAAGCCUGAUCCAGCAAUGCCGCGUGAGUGCUGAAGGCCUUAGGGUUGUAAAGCUCUUUUACCCGGGAUGAUAAUGACAGUACCGGGAGAAUAAGCUCCGGCUAACUCCGUG